GAGCUUGCUCUUCUUGGAUGAGUUGCGAACGGGUGAGUAACGCGUAGGUAACCUGCCUUGUAGCGGGGGAUAACUAUUGGAAACGAUAGCUAAUACCGCAUAACAAUGGAUGACACAUGUCAUUUAUUUGAAAGGGGCAAUUGCUCCACUACAAGAUGGACCUGCGUUGUAUUAGCUAGUAGGUGAGGUAACGGCUCACCUAGGCGACGAUACAUAGCCGACCUGAGAGGGUGAUCGGCCACACUGGGACUGAGACACGGCCCAGACUCCUACGGGAGGCAGCAGUAGGGAAUCUUCGGCAAUGGGGGCAACCCUGACCGAGCAACGCCGCGUGAGUGAAGAAGGUUUUCGGAUCGUAAAGCUCUGUUGUAAGUCAAGAACGAGUGUGAGAGUGGAAAGUUCACACUGUGACGGUAGCUUACCAGAAAGGGACGGCUAACUACGUGCCAGCAGCCGCGGUAAUACGUAGGUCCCGAGCGUUGUCCGGAUUUAUUGGGCGUAAAGCGAGCGCAGGCGGUUUGAUAAGUCUGAAGUUAAAGGCUGUGGCUCAACCAUAGUUCGCUUUGGAAACUGUCAAACUUGAGUGCAGAAGGGGAGAGUGGAAUUCCAUGUGUAGCGGUGAAAUGCGUAGAUAUAUGGAGGAACACCGGUGGCGAAAGCGG
rnacentral:rRNA from 1 species